GUUAUAUUUAGAAGUAGACUUAAAAUAUGACAGUUCCUGACAUGGUAUUUAUUAAGGAACACACUUCACAUAUGGGAGCUGACUUUUUGCUCUAGGAUGCCUUGCCUUAUACCUCCUUUAUAUAGAACAAACAAAAAGGCUUUUUUGUACAUGACAUUGUGGCAGGGCUUCUCAAUUUAAUUCUCUGAUGUAGUUACAAAAAGGCUUUAAGUAGGUAACCACUGCAUAAGUUGCCAUUUCAAUAUUGAUAGAAGCCAAAUAUAAAAUUGGCAUCAGUAGUGCAUUAUGUUACUGAAAACUUCUGAUUUUUUGUUUGUUUGUGCGUUUGUCUCUAAUUUUGACAUGCCCUUAGUAAUCAUCUGAUACUUUCCUCAUGGGCCACCAUUCCCAUGCUCCCUUUAGCUGACGGUAGAAAUAGCAAGCUGUCAAAAAAAUAUUUCUCCCAUUCUUCCAUUGUAGAUUUGUUGCUGGGCCUGUGGUUGCUCAUCCAGAGACUGUAUUUCUUGGACUCCCUCAUAGCCAGAUGCGGUCCUUCAGAGAAUUCUUCAGAAUCUGUUUCUGAAAGCUAUUUUGUGCCACCUUCAACUGACUGGAAGACUAUGUUUGGGAGAAUGAUGUGAAAUGUUAUCUUUGGAUGUUGGAGAUAAUUCUUUAAAGCACUGUAGUAUUUGGAAAAUGGUAUUUGAAUCAAUAAAUAAUUAAAUUAAUGAUGAUCUUUUGGGGAA
rnacentral:lncRNA from 12 species